GAUGAACGCUGGCGGCGUGCCUAAUACAUGCAAGUCGAGCGAACAGAUGAGGAGCUUGCUCCUCUGACGUUAGCGGCGGACGGGUGAGUAACACGUGGAUAACCUACCUAUAAGACUGGGAUAACUUCGGGAAACCGGAGCUAAUACCGGAUAAUAUAUUGAACCGCAUGGUUCAAUAGUGAAAGACGGUUUUGCUGUCACUUAUAGAUGGAUCCGCGCCGCAUUAGCUAGUUGGUAAGGUAACGGCUUACCAAGGCAACGAUGCGUAGCCGACCUGAGAGGGUGAUCGGCCCAACUGGAACGGAGACCGGGUCCAGACCCCUAGGGGGGGCAGCAGUGGGGAAUCUUCCGCAAUGGGCGAAAGCCUGAGGGAGCAACCCCGCGGGAGUGAUGAAGUUUUUCGGUUCGUAAACCCUUUUUUUUAGGAAAGAAAAAAUGUUAAAGUAACUUUCCCGUUUUUGACUGUACCAAACCAAAAAGCCCCGGCUAACUACGG
rnacentral:rRNA from 1 species